GCCCUCACGUGCUUUGCUCCGACACACCACAACAUCCGCCGAAACUAAGGACGGAGAGCGAGGGGGAGGGGCAUGAAGAAGAAAGGGACCUGCGCAUGCAGACCCAACAGCAGAGGAGUGGAUCCCAACCAGAAAUAUCCAUUACCUGGGGAACCAAGACAAGAAGGACCAGACGACAGCCCAGAGAAAUCGGCCAGAUGUCAGCAGUCUUUCAGACACUGAUGGCAGCCAUGUCCUUCCUGACAAUGACACCAAAGAUUCAGUUCCAGUGUAGCAGCUGAAUUAAACUGUCUUGGAUGAUAUGCAAUACAGACAGACUGAUAAAUGGACAAUAAGCUUAUGUGCUUCUCCUAUAGCUACUCACUGUUCAUAUGGAGAUGCUUUGCUCUGUUUACCACUUAUAACAAUGCCUCUGAAUUAGUGGGUAAAAAACCAACACGCUCACCUGUCAAAAUAAAAGAGGCAGUGCUACAGGACAUGAUUUUGUUUGUAUACACCUUCCUCUGUGCCUUUCUUUACCAAAAGGUAUAUACAAUUGAAAGUACAGACUCAUGACAUCCUCCCUCCUUGAGCAUGACUUUAUUGAAUGAGUUGAACAUCAUGUUUGGCCACUGUAGGCCCUUAUUCUUACUGUCAUAUUUUUUUUUGUCUUUGUUCUAUUAUAUACACUCUGUAAUAUCAUUGAUCAAGAGAACUAUUAUUGAUGCUAAAGUUAGCUUGAUGUGAUGAGCAGUCCUCACUUUACAAGAAAGGGAAUUGUAAGGGUUGGAGGAAGAACCAAAUGCAAACAGCAAAAUGCAAACAGGAAGUAAACAAGUUUUGCCUGAGAUUCCCCAGAAGUGAUUUCUGUGAGUAAACAGGGACCGCCUCAUGGGCACAUCGUUAACAGGAGGCAUCUCCUUCUUUGAUUGGCUGUGCGUGUGAUCUCAUAGACCCUAUUUAAGCUGUGGGAUGAGGAAGUAGGUCCUCUUUGACUUGGUGUUCACUGGGAGUCAGCAGGAGGUCAGCUAGGCAGGAUGUGAAUAUGUGAAUAAAAGACCUUGAGAGCUUGCA